CAUGGGGAUCAGCUAAGGAGAUGUCAGCACUCCUUAUCAGAACUGACUUGUGUAGAGGUGACGAUACAAAACUUGAGACCACACACACUUCAUGUCCGAUGUACGUCGUUCGCUCGGUUGCCGCCAUGGGAAAGGGGCGCAGAACUAGCAGCGUACUACCGGUAGCAGUGGGCCAACGAGGAGGACAGUGCUGCUGACGGUGCCCAAGGUGACGAAAUGGCGCCUCUUAAUCGGCCAGCAGGGCUCCCGUGCGGCGUCUUCGAGAACCCCGGUUGGGCACUCCUCAUAUUUUCUACACUAUGUUCGGAUAAGGUUGCAAAGUAAGAAGCAGGUCAAUUUGUGUGUUGUUGGUUGUGGCAGACCAAUAUCAGUCAAAUUGAAAAACAACCGCCUGUUGGUCUCGGCCCAUAACCAGCCGUGAAAGGCAAGAUGUUUAUGCUGCCUUUCUACCUUUAAAUUUGUGAUCCUAAUAUUGUCAGCAAUAUAGUGAAAUGUCCGGGUUUGUUGUACCGCAAAUUUGCAGUUUUCUUGAACUUUAUUGUGAUGAGCAAUUCAGCUUCUUCAAACUAAUAAAUGCAUG